AGGCUGCAGCCUAAAAUGAGAGGAAAACUUGGCUUAGGACAAGGCAGGAUGUAUGCACUGUAAGAUAAGCAGGGUGAUGUCAGCAGCAAUUUCGAUGAUAUAGUAAAAGAUGCAUAAGAAUUCUACACUGACCUG
rnacentral:lncRNA from 1 species